rnacentral:misc_RNA from 1 species
GCGGAGGGAUCAUUACCGAGUUUACCGAGUUUACAACUCCCAAACCCCUGUGAACAUACCUAUCGUUGCUUCGGCGGGUUCGCCCCAGUUUGACACAAGCUGGACCCAGGCGCCCGCCGGAGGACCCAAACUCUUGUUUUUUUGAGUAUCUUCUGAGUAAACAAGCAAAUAAAUUAAAACUUUCAACAACGGAUCUCUUGGUUCUGGCAUCGAUGAAGAACGCAGCGAAAUGCGAUAAGUAAUGUGAAUUGCAGAAUUCCGUGAAUCAUCGAAUCUUUGAACGCACAUUGCGCCCGCCAGUAUUCUGGCGGGCAUGCCUGUUCGAGCGUCAUUUCAACCCUCAAGCCCCCGGGCUUGGUGUUGGGGCUCGGCCCGUCCCUAGCGGACGCGCCGUCCCCGAAAUCUAGUGGCGGUCUCGCUGUAGCCUCCUCUGCGUAGUAGCUAACACCUCGCAACGGGAACGCAGCGCGGCCACGCCGUUAAACCCCCCACUUCUGAAGGUUGACCUCGGAUCAGGUAGGAAUACCCGCUG